AUUGAACGCUGGCGGCAGGCCUAACACAUGCAAGUCGAGCGGAUGAAGGGAGCUUGCUCGUGGAUUCAGCGGCGGACGGGUGAGUAAUGCCUAGGAAUCUGCCUGGUAGUGGGGGAUAACGUCCGGAAACGGGCGCUAAUACCGCAUUCGUCCUGAGGGAGAAAGUGGGGGAUCUUCGGACCUUCCGCUAUCAGAUGAGCCUAGGUCGGAUUAGCUAGUUGGUGGGGUAAAGGCCUACCAAGGCGACGAUCCGUAACUGGUCUGAGAGGAUGAUCAGUCACACUGGAACUGAGACACGGUCCAGACUCCUACGGGAGGCAGCAGUGGGGAAUAUUGGACAAUGGGCGCAAGCCUGAUCCAGCCAUGCCGCGUGUGUGAAGAAGGUCUUCGGAUUGUAAAGCACUUUAAGUUGGGAGGAAGGGCAGUAAGUUAAUACCUUGCUGUUUUGACGUUACCAACAGAAUAAGCACCGGCUAACUUCGUG
rnacentral:rRNA from 1 species